GGCCGUCCGAGACUAGGACGUUGAUAGGCAAGGUGUGUAAGCGUUGUGAGGCGUUGAGCUAACUUGUACUAAUGACCCGAGAGGCUUAACCAU
rnacentral:rRNA from 1 species